UAUGGCCAUACCAUGUUGAAAACACCGGUUCUCGUCUGCAUCACCGAAGUUAAGCAACAUUGCGCGUGGUUAGUACUUGGAUGGGUGACCGCUUGGGAACACCACGUGCCGUU
rnacentral:rRNA from 1 species